GAUGAACGCUAGCGGCAGGCCUAACACAUGCAAGUCGAGGGGUAACUAGAGUGAUAGCAAUAUUACUUUGGCUAGACCGGCGCACGGGUGCGUAACACGUAUGCAACCUACCUUAUACUGGGGAAUAACUUCGAGAAAUCGGCGCUAAUACCCCAUAACAUUGCGAAGAGGCAUCUCUUUGCAAUUAAAGCUCCGGCGGUAUAAGAUGGGCAUGCGUCCAAUUAGCUAGUUGGUGAGGUAACGGCUCACCAAGGCUACGAUUGGUAGGGGUUCUGAGAGGAUGAUCCCCCACACUGGUACUGAGACACGGACCAGACUACUACGGGAGGCAGCAGUGAGGAAUAUUGCGCAAUGGACGAAAGUCUGACGCAGCCAUGCCGCGUGCAGGAUGACGGCCCUAUGGGUUGUAACCUGCUUUUGUACGGGAAUAAACCCUUCUACGUGUAGGAGGCUGAAGGUACCGUAAGAAUAAGCACCGCCUAACUCCGUACCAGCAGCCGCAGUAAAAC
rnacentral:rRNA from 1 species